rnacentral:rRNA from 1 species
AUGGUGCUGCAAGCACAAAAAAAUAAUCUCUUUGUUGGGUUGGUCGCGGAUCUGGUCGAGAAUGGGGUAGCAAUUCUGCAAUAUGCAGAUGAUACGGUCCUCUGUAUUGAACACGACCCUGGUAAAGCUGUGAAUCUGAAGCUCCUUCUUUAUAUGUUCGAACUCAUGUCGGGUUUGAAAAUAAACUUCCAGAAGAGUGAGAUUCUCUGUGUUGGAGGGGAUGAUAAUAUCCUGCAAACUUAUGCUGAUAUUUUCAACUGUCAGAUUGGCCACUUCCCUAUGAAAUAUUUGGGAGUGCCAGUCAGUUAUUCAUCCAUUUGAGGGGUGGAUUGGGACUUUUUGGACGCCAAAUAUAUUAGCAGAUGUGAUUCU